rnacentral:lncRNA from 1 species
CUGAUUGCUCAAAGUUCACUUUCAGUUCCACCUCUGGUUGUGGUGCAGUUCUUUUUCUGUGUGAAGGUGUCUGCCGCUCCUCACCAACAUGAGCAGGAGCCAUCAGGGACCAGACACCCAUGGACCAGGUCCAGGACCAGGACUGAGCUGUGUGUCCAUGAAGAGUGAUGACUCAAAAGAGCUGCACAUUGACUUUAAAGGAGAAAAGGUGUCUACUGUGAAGAAGUAAGAUUUCAGUGAACUUAAAGUGAAACCUCAUUGGACAUCAGAGACAUGUGACUUCUAAACCACACCCAGCUGUGAUGCUGUGUAGUGUUAGAGGAGGAAGAUGAAGCAGGAGGAGCUGGCUAAGCAUCUGCAGAGCAGUAAGAGGAUUUAAGAGAAGUUUACAUCUACACACUCUGCUGUUAAUAUGAUGCAGACAUCUGC